UAGCGAAGCUUUUAGUGGAGCGGUGAAAGGCUCAGUAACGGGCGAUUUAUUUGUUCUCCUGUGACGGACAACAUCGGGAAACUGAUGGGAAAACGUCUAAGUUGCAGUUAAUUGAUUGUGACGUAAACGAUAUUGUGCAGGAGAGUAAGAUGCCAUCCUAUCAGUUAGUAAGUAGGGUAAGGGCCUACUUAGACGAAGACGGGUACGGGGAAUGAGGGUUUGAUUCCGGAGAGGGAGCCUGAGAGAUGGCUACCAGGACCAAGGUCAGCAGCAGGCGCGAAAAUUAUCGAAGCCCGCCUAGGGGCGAUAGUGAGGAGACGUGUAUAACGAAGUACGUGUAAAGAACGUGCUAAUAACUGGAGGUCAAGUCUGGUGCCAGCAUCCGCGGUAAUUCCAGCUCCAGGGGUGUCUAUGAUGAUUGCUGCGAUUAAAAAGUCCGUAGUCAAUCUGACUGACUGGCCUGCAAUGUGAUUGAUCAAAGAACGAGCAGGGUUAGGAAAGCAGAGAAUCAGGAGCGACCGAGGGCUAGAGUAUUGAAUGGCGAGAGGUGAAAUUUGAUGACCCAUUCAGGAGUGACAAAGGCGAAGGCACUAGUCAAGGGCGAAUCCGAUGAUCAAGGACGUAGGCUAGAGUUUCGAAAACGAUUAGAGACCGGAGUAGUUCUAGCAGUAAACUAUGCCGACGCCGUGGUAUCGAUUUGGUAUUGCGGAAGAGAAAUCAAGUAAGGCUUUGGGGAGAGUACGCGCGCAAGCGAUAAAUUUAAAGGAAAUUGACGGAGGAACACCACAAGGAGUGGAUUGUGCGGCUUAAUUUUGACUC
rnacentral:rRNA from 1 species